rnacentral:rRNA from 1 species
UACGUAGGGGGCAAGCGUUGUCCGGAUUUAUUGGGCGUAAAGAGCGUGUAGGCGGCUUUACAGGUCCGUUGUGAAAACUCGAGGCUUAACCUCGAGACGCCGGCUGAAACCCUCUGGCUAGAGUCCGGAAGAGGAGAGCGGAAUUCCUGGCGUAGCGGUGAAAUGCGCAGAUAUCAGGAAGAACACCCGUGGCGAAGGCGGCUCUCUGGGACGGUACUGACGCUGAGACGCGAAAGCGUGGGGAGCAAACAGG